rnacentral:rRNA from 1 species
GACGAACGCUGGCGGCGUGCUUAACACAUGCAAGUCGAACGAUGAAGCCUUAGCUUGCUUUGGUGGAUUAGUGGCGAACGGGUGAGUAACACGUGAGCAACGUGCCCAGGACUCUGGAAUAACCGCGGGAAACCGUGGCUAAUACCGGAUAGGUGCCGAGGCCGCAUGGUCUUCGGUUGGAAAGUUUUUGCGGUUCUGGAUCGGCUCACGGCCUAUCAGCUUGUUGGUGGGGUAAUGGCCUACCAAGGCGACGACGGGUAGCCGGCCUGAGAGGGUGACCGGCCACACUGGGACUGAGACACGGCCCAGACUCCUACGGGAGGCAGCAGUGGGGAAUAUUGCACAAUGGGCGCAAGCCUGAUGCAGCAACGCCGCGUGGGGGAUGACGGCCUUCGGGUUGUAAACCUCUUUUAGUAGGGAAGAAGCGCAAGUGACGGUACCUGCAGAAAAAGCACCGGCUAACUACGU